rnacentral:lncRNA from 1 species
CUCCCAGGUGGUGCCCAGUUGUUGCUCCUCAAGCUGGGAAAAGAUGACCUUGGCUGCAGAUCUGAGGGGCUGCGAAGCCCAGGGCGUCCAGUUCCCGAGGUGCCCUUCCGCCCAGAGCCGCCCUCUCCCCAGACCCCAGUGAGGGUCAGCCCUCUCCCAGGCCUGCCCUGAUCGCUGCCCAGGGAAGCGCCCGCCCUGCCGCAGCCGCCCAGUCUGAUUCCUGGCAUCCACGUGGCAGGGCGCCCGCUGCAGCGACAGCAGUUCCCACGGGAGGAGUCGCACCGGGAAUGGGCCGCGGGGGAGGGAGAGAGUGGGAGGGAGUGAGGCCCCGGGAAUUGUCCUCUGAAGGGGCGGCGCAUGGGCGUCCCCCGCCCUGCUAGCCCCAUCUCCUUCCCUGUCCCUGCUUGGGCAGGAGGCCCAAGCCCUGACAACAGAGGUGAGAGAGGCUGUGCCAGCCCUUCUCUGGGCAUGUCUGGGCUCAAGGGCCAGGCUCUGUCUCCAGUCUAGGGCCAAGCUGGGGCCUGUGGCAGGAUCAGAUAGAGGCUACCCACAUGACGCCACUACACGUGAAGUUGUGAAGAGAUGUGCAGAAUUGGCUCCAGCACCCCCCGUACCUGUUCCAGGACAGUCCCGUUGCCUUCCACGGGGCCCAGAAAGGGGCUGGGGUCCUGCUGGCUUGCCAAGUUAGGGUACCCUUGAGGACUUCCUGUCCUGCCCUUGUGCCUGUUGGUGUGACUGUGAUUAUGAUUGUGGCUAUAGUUGACAUUGUGAUUGUGAUGGUUGAAGCUUCAGUUACUGGUGUGUUUUCAGUGACGGGGAGAAGAGGCCAGUGAAGUAAAUGCCUCUGUCACUCAAGGGACACGGCCAGGUGCCCAGGGGUAUGAGGGCCAAUUAGGGCCCAGGGUCCUCAGGGCUGUGUUGUGGCUCUAUGCAGGAAACUGGAAACCUGAUGUGACCUAAUGAACACAUCUCCUGCCACUCUCCCCUUCCUCCACUGUGCAGUGAUGACCUGGCCUCAUGCUGCAUUGAGGAGACAGGAGCCCAGCUGUGGGACGCGCUCACCUUUCCAUGGUGUAAUCUGUAUUCCUACCUGCACCGUGCCCUUCUUCUUCUCCUUCCUGACUCACAUCUGAGGUUGGGUCCCUCCUCUUAUCAAAGGACAGUCUUUUUUUUUUUUUUUUUUUUUUUGAGACGGAGUCUUGCUCUCUAGCUCAGACCGGAGUGCAGUGACGCGAUCUCAGCUCACUGCAACUUCUGCCUCCCAAGUUCGAGCAAUUCUCCUGCCUCAGCCUUCUGAGUAGCUGGGAUUACAGGUGUGCACCACCACGCCCAGCUAAUCUUUUUGUAUUUUUAGUAAAGAUGGGGUUUCACCAUGUUGGCCAGGCUAGUCUCGAACUCCUGACCUCAAGUGAUCCUCCCGCCUCUGCCUCCCAAAGUGCUGGGAUUACAGGCGUGAGCUACCACGCCAGGCCUAAAGGACAGUCCUUAGUGACUUCCCAUUGGCUGGAAUAAAAUGCUGAUUCUUUACGGGAUGACUUUAGCCUCAUCUCCCCCUUCCACCCCCGGCUCCUUGUGUUUCAGCUUCGAUUGGCCCCUUUUCUGUUCUACAAGCACAACAAGCUUGUUCCUACCUCAGGGACUUGGAGCCCACAGUUGCCUCCCAGUCUCUGCGUGUCUGGUUACUCAUCGUCCCAGUCUUGGCCCAAAGAGCCCUUCCCUGACCUUUCCCUCUAAAGGGGGCUCCCCAGUUACUCUCCAUGUUUUCACCUUUGUUGUGGUCAGCCCAGCACUGAUGGGUCACCUUGUUUACUGCAGUGUGACUUGUUUCAGGGUCUUCCCCACUAGAGUGUAAGCUCCAUGAGGGCAGCGUGCUCAUUGUCUGUGGUACCUGGAAUCUGGCUGGUACCAGAUAAAUGCA